GGUGCCUGCCUUAUGGUAGGAACCGCGAGACAGGUGCUGCAUGGUUGUCGUCAGCUCGUGUCGUGAGAUGUUGGGUUAAGUCCCGCAACGAGCGCAACCCCUACCCUUAGUUGCCAGCGUGAAGACGGGCACUCUAAGGGGACUGCCAUCGACAAGAUGGAGGAAGGUGGGGAUGACGUCAAAUCAUCAUGGCCUUUAUGCCCUGGGCUACACACGUGCUACAAUGGGCGGUACAAAGGGA
rnacentral:rRNA from 1 species